GCUGUUCUCAUAAUGUUUUUACUGAUGUAAGGAAAGAAACUCGAGCAGUUUGACUUACAAGGUACCAGCAAACUUAGUGCUGACAUGACUCUGAUCCCCAGACGUGGAAUUGCUCGUGCAAGUAGGUAAGACCACGAGCUGUGCCAAUGAUUAUAUCAUACCGUUGCUUCCAGUUGAGCAUCCCUUGUUUGUCACCUGCAAAACCAUGAAAGG